UGUGAUGUCUAAGUCAGUGCAUUUCCAGUGACAGAAAUUGACUUCUGGUAAACAGGUUUAUUGUUUUCAUACAUCAGAGCCCACUGGCCAAUUUUAAGAUCUGAAAGACCUGUAUUGCCUUCUGCAGCCCUUUGAAGAUUUAGGCAACAGCCUCUAUGUAAGGGUGGGAACUGUAUGGUCCUCCAGAUGACUGUGGAUUGGAACCAGGGUGACCAGAUGUCAUAAUUGCAAAGGAGGGCAAGGCCCCUAAAAAUGUUGGACAUUCAAGAAAAAGUGAGCAAGCUGUUUGCAUCUGUUUGGAAUCCAUACAUGAGAGACCAGGAUUUUGGCAUCACAGAGCUAACAGCUGGAAAAUCUGACUGCUCUUAGAGGUAUACAUCUGGACCUGUGAAACAGAGGAAGGAAGUGCUGCUGUGAAGCAUGUAAAGGCAGGCAGCUGUGGCUGAACCAUGUUUCUGCAAAGGGAGAUGGGCAGCCAAGCAACAUAGCAUCGCAGAACAGGUGGAGUAGUUCAAUGUGUGGCUCCCCUCUGCAUUUGGUAAUUUGAACAUUUGGUAAUACUGAGCCAUUUUGCUUCUUUUGUACAUUAAUUCACCCCAAUAAAUCCUGCUGCCUAGGAGGCUACAGGG